GUACAGAGGGUGGCGAGCGUUGUCCGGAAUCACUGGGCGUAAAGGGCGGCGUAGGUGGCGACCCAAGUCGAUGGUGAAAGCUCGCCGCUCAACGGCGAGUCGGCCACCGAUACUGGGUUGCUGGAGCACUGUAGAGGCAGAUGGAAUUCCGGGUGUAGCGGUGGAAUGCGUAGAGAUCCGGAAGAACACCGGUGGCGAAGGCGGGUCUGCUGGGCAGU
rnacentral:rRNA from 1 species